rnacentral:rRNA from 1 species
UACGUAGGGGGCAAGCGUUAAUCGGAAUUACUGGGCGUAAAGCGUGCGCAGGCGGUUGUGCAAGACAGAUGUGAAAUCCCCGGGCUCAACCUGGGAACUGCAUUUGUGACUGCACAGCUUGAGUGCGGCAGAGGGGGAUGGAAUUCCGCGUGUAGCAGUGAAAUGCGUAGAUAUGCGGAGGAACACCGAUGGCGAAGGCAAUCCCCUGGGACUGCACUGACGCUCAUGCACGAAAGCGUGGGGAGCAAACAGG